rnacentral:rRNA from 1 species
UACGUAGGGUGCGAGCGUUGUCCGGAAUUAUUGGGCGUAAAGAGCUCGUAGGCGGUUUUGUCACGUCUGCUGUGAAAAUCCCCGAGGCUCAACCUCGGGCCUGCAGUGGGUACGGGGCGAGACUGGGAGUGCGGGUAGGGGGAGAAAUGGAAUUCCUGGUGUAGCGGUGGAAAUGCGCAGAUAUCAGGAGGAACACCGAUGGCGAAGGCAGGUCUCGUGGGCAUUAACUGACGCUGAGGAGCGAAAGCAUGGGGAGGCGAACAGGAAUAGAAACCCUUA